GGAGUUCAACGCUCUAACCAGUCCAUGCAACUGUUAUUGGAUGACACAGCACUGAUGACCUUAUAAAUUCAACCUCUAAAGUAUCUGUGGUUUCUGUGAGCUGUUGAAUAGAUUGGAUAAGAACUUCAAUAAUACUUUGUUCUAAGAAGGUGCAUUCUUUGAACGGGGGUCGGGAGUUCAACGCUCUAACCAGUCCAUGCAACUGUUAUUGGAUGACACAGCACUGAUGACCUUAUAAAUUCAACCUCUAAAUUAUCUGUGGUUUCUGUAAGCUGUUGAAUAGAUUGGAUAAGAACUUCAAUAAUACUGAUGUAAUUUUAUAGCAUGUAAACACAUGGGCCAGCUCUGUAAUAAAUGUGUAACAGUGUGCUGCA
rnacentral:lncRNA from 1 species